rnacentral:misc_RNA from 1 species
GAUGAAGAACGUAGCGAAAUGCGAUAAGUAAUGUGAAUUGCAGAAUUCAGUGAAUCAUCGAAUCUUUGAACGAACAUUGCGCCCCCUGGUAUUCCGGGGGGCAUGCCUGUCCGAGCGUCAUUACAACCCUCAAGCUCAGCUUGGUGUUGGGCCCCGCCGCCCCGGCGGGCCCUAAAGUCAGUGGCGGUGCCGUCCGGCUCCGAGCGUAGUAAUUCUUCUCGCUCUGGAGGUCCGGUCGUGUGCUCGCCAGCAACCCCCAAUUUUUUUCAGGUUGACCUCGGAUCAGGUAGGGAUACCCGCUGAACUUAAGCAUAUCAAUAAGCGGAGGA